CCUAUGGGGUGCAGCAGGCGCGAAAACUUUACAAUGCUGGAAACUGUGAUAAGGGAACCCCGAGUGCCCGUAUACGCGGGCUGUCCAGGUGUCUAAAACGCAUCUGAAGAAAGGGCCGGGCAAGACCGGUGCCAGCCGCCGCGGUAAUACCGGCGGCUCGAGUGGUGACCACUUUUAUUGGGCUUAAAGCGUUCGUAGCUGGACUCUUAAGUCUCUUGGGAAAUCCCGCGGCUUAACCGUGGGGCGUUUAAGAGAUACUGAGAGUCUAGGAACCGGGAGAGGUAAGAGGUACUUCGGGGGUAGAAGUGAAAUUCUGUAAUCCUCGAGGGACCACCGAUGGCGAAGGCAUCUUACCAGAACGGCUUCGACAGUGAGGGACGAAAGCUGGGGGAGCGAACGGGAUUAGAUACCCCCGUAGUCC
rnacentral:rRNA from 1 species